AUUCUGAAGACUGACUGAGCGUGGAAGUUGCUCAACAAAAAAAGGAACGGGUAUAUUGACAGAGUCUUGCUCUAUUGCCCAGGCUGCAACUGGUGUGAUCUCGGCUCACUACAACCUCUGCCUCCUGGGUUCAAGCGAUUCUCCUGCCUCAAGCUCCCAAGUAGCUGGGAUUACAAGCAUGCACCACCAUGCCUGGCUAAUUUUUGUAUUUUUAGUGGAGACGGGGUUUCGCCACAUUGGCCAGGGUGGUCUUGAACUCCUGACCUCAAGUGAUCCACCUGCCUUGGCCUCCCAAAGUGCUGGGAUUAUAAGCAUGAGCCACUGCACCCAGCCUUAUACUGAACUUUCAAUGGGUUCAAUUCCACUAGGAGCAUAAAGGCCACUGCAUAUGAGUUGUGGAAAGAAGAGAUUAGAAGAAGGAAGAACUUGAGAUGAGUUCCUCCCUUCAACAUUCUGUCUCCUCCUACCUAGCAUCUUCUUUCUUUUAGUCUUUCUAGAAUGUCCAUCUGUUUUUGGCCAUUGCGGAGAGAGAAGCUGAGCUUUAAAGGAGUAGGAGCUUCAAAGGCUUGCUGAGACAAAGGAAAACCCACUCCCUUGGAGGAGCAUGACCU
rnacentral:lncRNA from 1 species